ACGAACGCUGGCGGCACGCUUAACACAUGCAAGUCGAACGAGAGAAGAGAAGCUUGCUUUUCUGAUCUAGUGGCGGACGGGUGAGUAACACGUGAGCAAUCUGCCUUUCAGAGGGGGAUACCGAUUGGAAACGAUCGUUAAUACCGCAUAACAUAAUUGAACCGCAUGAUUUGAUUAUCAAAGAUUUAUCGCUGAAAGAUGAGCUCGCGUCUGAUUAGCUAGUUGGUAAGGUAACGGCUUACCAAGGCGACGAUCAGUAGCCGGACUGAGAGGUUGAUCGGCCACAUUGGGACUGAGACACGGCCCAGACUCCUACGGGAGGCAGCAGUGGGGAAUAUUGCACAAUGGAGGAAACUCUGAUGCAGCGAUGCCGCGUGAGGGAAGAAGGUUUUAGGAUUGUAAACCUCUGUCUUCAGGGACGAAAAAAGACGGUACCUGAGGAGGAAGCUCCGGCUAACUACGUGCCAGCAGCCGCGGUAAUACGUAGGGAGCGAGCGUUGUCCGGAAUUACUGGGUGUAAAGGGAGCGUAGGCGGGAUCGCAAGUCAGAUGUGAAAACUAUGGGCUUAACCCAUAAACUGCAUUUGAAACUGUGGUUCUUGAGUGAAGUAGAGGUAAGCGGAAUUCCUAGUGUAGCGGUGAAAUGCGUAGAUAUUAGGAGGAACAUCAGUGGCGAAGGCGGCUUACUGGGCUUUAACUGACGCUGAGGCUCGAAAGCGUGGGGAGCAAACAGGAUUAGAUACCCUGGUAGUCCACGCCGUAAACGAUGAUUACUAGGUGUGGGGGGACUGACCCCUUCCGUGCCGCAGCAAACGCAAUAAGUAAUCCACCUGGGGAGUACGACCGCAAGGUUGAAACUCAAAGGAAUUGACGGGGGCCCGCACAAGCAGUGGAGUAUGUGGAUUAAUUCGAAGCAACGCGAAGAACCUUACCAGGUCUUGACAUCGUAUGCAUAGCUCAGAGAUGAGUGAAAUCUCUUCGGAGACAUAUAGACAGGUGGUGCAUGGUUGUCGUCAGCUCGUGUCGUGAGAUGUUGGGUUAAGUCCCGCAACGAGCGCAACCCUUACUGUUAGUUGCUACGCAAGAGCACUCUAGCAGGACUGCCGUUGACAAAACGGAGGAAGGUGGGGAUGACGUCAAAUCAUCAUGCCCCUUAUGACCUGGGCCUCACACGUACUACAAUGGCUGUCAACAGAGGGAAGCAAAGCCGCGAGGUGGAGCAAACCCCUAAAAGCAGUCUUAGUUCGGAUUGUAGGCUGCAACCCGCCUACAUGAAGUCGGAAUUGCUAGUAAUCGCAGAUCAGCAUGCUGCGGUGAAUACGUUCCCGGGCCUUGUACACACCGCCCGUCACACCAUGAGAGCCGGGGGGACCCGAAGUCGGUAGUCUAACCGCAAGGAGGACGCAGUCGAAGGUGGGAUUGAUGACUGGGGUG
rnacentral:rRNA from 1 species